rnacentral:tRNA from 1 species
GGUGUGCUGGCGCAAUGGUAAGCUUGUUCCUCGGAAGCUUAAGGUUCUGGGUUCGAGUCCCAGGUACAUCG